rnacentral:rRNA from 1 species
UGGGGAAUAUUGGACAAUGGGCGAAAGCCUGAUCCAGCGACGCCGCGUGGGUGAAGAAGGCCUGCGGGUUGUAAAGCCCUUUCGGUAGGGACGAAAGCCUCCGACCUAACACGUCGGGGGGUUGACUUAACCUACAGAAGAAGCACCGGCUAACUCUGUGCCAGCAGCCGCGGUAAUACAGAGGGUGCGAGCGUUAAUCGGAAUUACUGGGCGUAAAGCGCACGUAGGCGGCUUGGUAUGUCGGGUGUGAAAUCCCCGGGCUCAACCUGGGAACUGCAUCCGAAACUGCCUUGCUCGAGUAUGGGAGAGGGAAGCGGAAUUUCCGGUGUAGCGGUGAAAUGCGUAGAUAUCGGAAGGAACAUCAGUGGCGAAGGCGGCUUCCUGGACCAAUACUGACGCUCAGGUGCGAAAGCGUGGGAGCAAACAGGAUUAGAUACCCUGGUAGUCCACGCCCUAAACGAUGAGAACUGGAUGUCGGGAGGGUUUGCCUUCCGGUGUCGUAGCUAACGCGUUAAGUUCC